UUAAAUGUUUGCAAUUACUUUUCUAUCAACAUAUAUGAGUGUUGUGAUUUUUCAAGACACCCAAAUCUGCUGAGCUGACAAGUCCUCAGUUAUUGGCAAGCACACUGAAGAGGCAAAAGUUACUUCGAACACCCAAAUGGUAUAUUUUUAACAUUAAUUGAAAGCAACAAUAAUAGCAAAUUGAUUUGCCAUAGCUGCCUACUUAUUAAGCCUGUGUUGUAGAAUAUGGUAACUGGAUAUAAAUCUGCAAAAGUGAAAAUUGCAACAGCAGAGAUCAUCACUUGAAUCUGCUACUUUCAAACAUGUCACCUUAUUUAGACAUCCAACAAGUGUGUUGUAGGUGUUGAUUCAACUUAAAAUGAAUGGAUAAUUGUGCAAAAGUAAAAUUCUAUAUCUAAAUUGAAAUAAUUGGCAUAACCAAGAUUUGAUUUAAUGUCCUGUUAGUGCAAUGCUACCAUUUUUUAUUGUCUUACAUUAAAAAAUG